rnacentral:lncRNA from 1 species
GUUCCGUUAUUAAAUCCCUGUUGUUGAAGGAAUUCUCCCUCGAGCCCCCUUUGAAGCUAUGGGAACCCUUAGUGGCAGUUCGGCGGCCGCUGAACUUGCAGGCCACUGUUUCCCCCCUCCUACUCCUCUCGAUCCGUAGCAUCCUCUCGAGAUUGACCUCCAGGGUAGAAGCCUCGAUGGGAGAACUCCUCGAAAGAGCUCGGAAGACUGAAGGCGGCGGGGAGCCG